rnacentral:misc_RNA from 1 species
AUGAGUUAAAAAACUCCUAAACCCACUGUGAACAUACCAUUUUGUUGCCUCGGCAGGUUGUGUUUGCCCUGUAGCUGCUACCCUGGACCUACCCUGGACCUACCCUGUAGCUACCCGGUAACACGUUUAACGGCCUGCCGGUGGUCUUCUAAACUCUUGCUAUAUAUUGCGAAUUCUGAACAAGUAAAACUUAAUAAGUUA